AUUGAACGCUAGCGGGAUGCCUUACACAUGCAAGUCGAACGAGUGGGAACGGGUGAGUAAUACGUUGGUAACCUCCCAUCAGAGGGGAUAACACUUGGAAACAGGUGCUAAACCGAUACUGAUGGAUGGACCCGCGGUGCAUUAGCUGGUUGGUGAGGUAACGGCUCACCAAGGCCACGAUGCAUAGCCGACCUGAGAGGGGGAUCAGCCACACUGGGACUGAGACACGGCCCAGACUCCUACGGGAGGCAGCAGUAGGGAAUCUUCGGCAAUGGGCGAAAGCCUGACCGAGCAACGCCGCGUGUGUGAAGAAGGUUUUCGGAUCGUAAAACUCUGUUGUUAGGGAGGCGGUAUCUACCCAGAAAGCCACGGCUAACUACGUGCCAGCAGCCGCGGUAAUGC
rnacentral:rRNA from 1 species